AACGGUCUAUACCUGCGGUACCUGCGGAAGGAUCAUUACCGAGUUAGGGUCUUUUGGCCCGACCUCCAACCCUUUGUUUAUUAUACCAUGUUGCUUUGGUGGGCCUGCCUUUCGGGGCUGCCGGGGGCAUCACUGCCCCUGACUCGUGCCUGCCAGGAGCCUUCUUAAAUUCAGUGUUCAACGGUGCUGUCUGAGUCCCAGUAUCAAAAUAUCAAAAACUUUCAGCAAUGGAUCUCUAGA
rnacentral:misc_RNA from 1 species